rnacentral:rRNA from 1 species
GACGAACGCUGGCGGCGUGCUUAACACAUGCAAGUCGAACGAAGUGGCGAACGGGUGAGUAACGCGUAAUCAACCUGCCCUUCAGCGGGGGCUAACAGUUGGAAACGACUGCUAAUACCGCAUACUGAAGGCGGGGAUUGCGUCUGCUGAGCUAGUUGGAGGGGUAACGGCCCACAAAGGCGAUGAUCAGUAGCCGGGCUGAGAGGAUGAACGGCCACAUUGGGACUGAGAUACGGCCCAGACUCCUACGGGAGGCAGCAGUGGGGAAUUUUGGACAAUGGGCGCAAGCCUGAUCCAGCCAUGCCGCGUGUCUGAAGAAGGCCUUCGGGUUGUAAAGGACUUUUGUCAGGGAAGCGGUACCUGAAGAAUAAGCACCGGCUAACUACGUGCCAGCAGCCGCGGUAAUAC